GAUGAACGCUGGCGGCGUGCCUAAUACAUGCAAGUCGAGCGAACAGACGAGGAGCUUGCUCCUCUGACGUUAGCGGCGGACGGGUGAGUAACACGUGGAUAACCUACCUAUAAGACUGGGAUAACUUCGGGAAACCGGAGCUAAUACCGGAUAAUAUAUUGAACCGCAUGGUUCAAUAGUGAAAGACGGUUUUGCUGUCACUUAUAGAUGGAUCCGCGCCGCAUUAGCUAGUUGGCAAGGUAACGGCUUACCAAGGCAACGAUGCGUAGCCGACCUGAGAGGGUGAUCGGCCACACUGGAACUGAGACACGGUCCAGACUCCUACGGGAGGCAGCAGUAGGGAAUCUUCCGCAAAGGGCGAAAGCCUGACGGAGCAACGCCGCGUGAGUGAUGAAGGUCUUCGGAUCGUAAAACUCUGUUAUUAGGGAAGAACAAAUGUGUAAGUAACUAUGCACGUCUCGACGGUACCUAAUCAGAAAGCCACGGCUAACUACGUG
rnacentral:rRNA from 1 species